rnacentral:rRNA from 1 species
GCAAGUCGAACGAGAAAGCAACUUCGGUUGUGAGUAGAGUGGCGCACGGGAGAGUAACGCGUAGGGAUAUACCCAGCAGUGGGGGAUAACUAAUGGAAACGUUAGCUAAAACCGAUACGCCCUUAGGAGGAAAUAUUUAUAGCUGUUUGAUUAGCCUGCGUUAGAUUAGCUAGUUGGUGAGGUAAACGCUCACCAAGGCGACGAUCUAUAGCUGGUCUGAGAGGAUGAUC